rnacentral:rRNA from 1 species
AUGGCAACGAUGAAUACUGACCAAAGCUUCUUGGACACCCUUGGUUUUGGUUACACGCAAACACAACUAGAAAGUCCAAUUGGGGAGCAGGCAACUCCAUCAACGCAGCAUCGUUCUGCAAUAACAGAGAAAGGCAAAUCCAACAAAGGCAAAAAUUGGUCUAGUGAUGAGGACAAGGUUCUCAUAGCAGCAUGGGCAAAUACAAGUUUGGAUAUUGUUGGGACAGAUCAAAACCGGGAUGCUUAUUGGGAUAGAAUUUCAGAGUACUACAACACACACAAGGAAUCAUCAUGGCCGGAGCGUAAUGCUAAUGCAAUCAAUUGCCGUUACACAACGAUUAAUAGAGAGACCUCUAAAUUUUGUGGUUGCCUUCAGCAGAUUUUAAAUAGGGAAGAAAGUGGAAGGACUAUACAAGAAAAGACAAACGAUGCACACAUUUUGUUCAAGGAAAUGGAUCUUAAAAGAAAGAAGCCUUUCACACUGAUGCAUUGCUAUGUAGAGUUUUCGAAGUAUCCAAAGUGGCAGACAAGAGAAGUUGAAACUUCUCUUAAGAAACAAAAGAAGACCAUUGAUGCAAGUCCAGGCACAGCCACCAAUGAUCCGGCUGAUGCAUCCUCGGUACGUACUAAUGCUACCUCGAUACACACUGAUGCUCUUGAACAUGAGAAAAGACCUGAUGGUGUGAAGAGGGACAAGAGAGGUAAAGCUGAUGACAGUGCUUGCAAGCUGUCAUUAGAAACUGUGUGGGAAGCAAAGCUAGAGAAGGAUGAGAUCAAAGAGGCGGCAAGAAAUGCUCGCUACGCACAGCAAUUGGAAUUGCGAAAAGAGGAGAUUGCACUCAAAAAGAAUGAGGAUGCACGAAACAAGAGGGAGGAUGCACGGAGACAGUUUGAAUUAGAUGAGAGGGUCAUGCUCAUCGACACAAGUGGUAUGACUGAUGUUCAAAAGCAGUUCUACCAAGCUAAGCAGAAGGAGAUCCUUGCUCGCGGCCUAGGGUAA